rnacentral:rRNA from 1 species
AGAUUGAACGCUGGCGGCAUGCCUUACACAUGCAAGUCGAACGGCAGCACGGACUUCGGUCUGGUGGCGAGUGGCGAGCGGGUGAGUAAUAUAUCGGAACGUACCCUGGAGUGGGGGAUAACGCAGCGAAAGUUGCGCUAAUACCGCAUACGAUCUACGGAUGAAAGUGGGGGAUUCGCAAGAACCUCAUGCUCGUGGAGCGGCCGAUAUCUGAUUAGCUAGUUGGUAGGUAAAAGCCUACCAAGGCAUCGAUUAGUAGCUGGUCUGAGAGGACGACCAGCCACACUGGGACUGAGACACGGCCCAGACUCCUACGGGAGGCAGCAGUGGGGAAUUUUGGACAAGUGGGGGCAACCCUGAUCCAGCAAUGCCGCGUGAGUAGAAGAAGGCCGUUCGGUUGUAAAGCUUCUUUUGUCGAGGGUAAGAAACGGUAGAAGGACUAAUAAUCCUUUAGCUAAUAGACGGUAACUAGAAG